AGAAUCAACGCUGGCGGCGUGCCUAACACAUGCAAGUCGAUCGAGAAAGUGGAGCAAUCCAUGAGUAAAGAGGCGCACGGGUGAGUAACACGUGACUAACCUACCCUCGAGUGGGGAAUAACCUGGGAACCGGGCUAAUACCGCAUAAUACCCACGGGUCAAAGGAGCAAUUCGCUUGAGGAGGGGUCGCGGCAGAUUAGUUAGUUGGCGGGGUAAUGGCCCACCAAGACGAUGAUCUGUA
rnacentral:rRNA from 1 species